rnacentral:rRNA from 1 species
UACAGAGGAUGCAAGCGUUAUCCGGAAUGAUUGGGCGUAAAGCGUCUGUAGGUGGCUUUUUAAGUCCGCCGUCAAAUCCCAGGGCUCAACUCUGGACAGGCGGUGGAAACUACCAAGCUGGAGCACUGUAGAGGCGGGUGGAAUUCCGGGUGUAGCGGUGGAAUGCGUAGAGAUCCGGAAGAACACCAGUGGCGAAGGCGGCCCGCUGGGCAGUGGCUGACGCUGAGGCGCGACGGCGUGGGGAGCAAACAGG